CCUGGGGCUGAAGUAGGUCCCAAGGGUUGGGCUGUUCGCCCAUUAAAGCGGUACGCGAGCUGGGUUCAGAACGUCGUGAGACAGUUCGGUCCCUAUCUUCCGUGGGCGCAGGAAAUUUGAGAGGAGCUGUCCCUAGUACGAGAGGACCGGGACGGACGGACCUCUGGUGGACCAGUUGUCACGCCAGUGGCACAGCUGGGUAGCUAUGUCCGGAUGAGAUAACCGCUGAAAGCAUCUAAGCGGGAAACUCGCCUCAAGAUACGAUUUCCCGUCUCGUAGCAAUACGGGACUAAGACCCCUCGUAGACGACGAGGUUGAUAGGCAGCAGGUGUAAGCGCUGUAAGGCGUUCAGCCGAGCUGUACUAAUCGGUCGAGAGGCUUGACCAAUUAUUUUU
rnacentral:rRNA from 1 species